rnacentral:rRNA from 1 species
UGGGGAAUAUUGCGCAAUGGGGGAAACCCUGACGCAGCGACGCCGUGUGAGUGAUGAAGGCUUUCGGGUCGUAAAGCUCUGUCGGAUAGGACGAAUAAAGGUUGUGUGAAUAAUGCAGCCUGAUGACGGUACUGUCGAAGGAAGCACCGGCUAACUCCGUGCCAGCAGCCGCGGUAAUACGGAGGGUGCAAGCGUUGUUCGGAAUUAUUGGGCGUAAAGCGCGUGUAGGCGGAUAUGUAGGUCAGAUGUGAAAUCCCUCGGCUUAACUGAGGAAGAGCAACUGAAACCACAUGUCUUGAGUACGAUAGAGGAGAGUGGAAUUCCCAGUGUAGAGGUGAAAUUCAUAGAUAUUGGGAAGAACACCGGUGGCGAAGGCGGCUCUCUGGAUCGAUACUGACGCUGAGACGCGAAAGCGUGGGGAGCAAACAGG